rnacentral:rRNA from 1 species
UACGUAUGGAGCAAGCGUUAUCCGGAUUUACUGGGUGUAAAGGGUGCGUAGGCGGCACAGCAAGACAGAUGUGAAAGACCGGGGCUCAACCCCGGGGCUGCAUUUGAAACUGCCGAGCUUGAGUCCGGGAGAGGCAGGCGGAAUUCCUAGUGUAGCGGUGAAAUGCGUAGAUAUUAGGAGGAACACCAGUGGCGAAGGCGGCCUGAUGGACCGGAACUGACGCUGAGGCACGAAAGCGUGGGGAGCAAACAGG